GCUUUAUCGAGGUAUAAUUGAAGAACCAUACAGUUCACGCAAACAGACUUUUGACAUCAGAUAACUGAAGAGACAGUAGCAUGACAGAAGCGAUCGAAGGCCCUGGCCUCAUGACACAGCAAGUACUUUGAAUUUUAGCACAUUGCAAAGUAGUUUAAAAUAUGUCUAAUUUAAACGUAUAAUAUGUACAUCACUGAGACAAUCAUGUACAGAAAGAAUUUUUGGUGUAAAUUUGUAAUAAUGGAUGAUUUCUUUUACAUAUUGUUUAGAAAAAUGAUAUUGAAAGGUAGCAAUGCCUUGAUAGUGAAGUAUGAGGAGGACCGGCACAGACACGCAGGGCCUUCUCCAAGUACUGGGUAUAAAUAUGUAGAUAAUGGAUUUUUUUUUUUUUUUUAGAUCAUGUUGUCAAGACCAAAAGCAUGGAUGUCAAGUGUCAAUAGGAUUUUGUUUUCUAAUAAUUUUUUUCCCCAAUCUGUACUUUUUUUUUUUUUUUAAUGCUGUUAGGAGGGCCUUGGUAAAUAACACAUCAGUGUCUUAAACAACUGGGGUCGGGGUGGGGAGACAAGUCCUCUUACAACCUCACUUUUUCAUUUUUAGCAUUAAUGCAGUGUAACUAUUUGGCAAAGGAGAGUUAUUCAAAUGCUUCUUCCCAUAGAAAGAAGGUAGAUGAUGGAUAGAUUUUAUAAAUGGCUCAUGAAUUGGACACUAGCAAAGGGACACUAUCAUGUGUCCAGAUGAUAUUUUCUUGUUUAAGGAAGGCCAUGACCACAUAUCUGCAAAUCAGCACAACUUUGUAUUACUUCCUUACAUUCAUGUUCUUUCUCUUUCCCUCCACGUCCCACCAUCACCGCCCACCAGAAAAGUUCAUUGCCAGCAGUGGGACAUGAUCCAGUCAUCAUCACCAAGAAAAUAAUGCUACUCUUUUCACCCCAUCCUAACUAUAUGACAAGCGUAAAUCUGAGAAAUGAAGCUUGUCACCUUUGUAAUACCCUCAAAAAAGUUCAGCCAGAAGUAAUCCAUCAGUUUAUCUAGACACUAGUUUCUCUCAUCUAAAGGCCUUCCAUUGUCAUGAGAUUACUUUUUGGAUGAAUUUUCUUUAAUAGUAUAUUGGAGGGAAAAAAACCCACCAGCUUUGACCCAAAGUAGCUACAGAGCUGCCCUAUCCUUUCCUAAGGUUUCAUGUUGCUGCUAGAAUUAGUCAGUUGUGAAUAUCUCCAAAUUGUUGAAUCAUUGAAUUCAGUUGUUUUUUCCUCUCUUGCUUGAAGCAAACAGAAGUCAACAGUUUUUUAGCCUUUCCAUUUUAUGUUUUUGUACUCUGCAAACUGAAAAGACAAAAGUUUAUCAUCUUGGCCUUACUGUAUAAAGGUGUGUUGUGUCCACAACUGUGUACAGACUUUUUCUUCAAUUUGUGUUUAAAUUAAUAAAACUGAUUUGUGAAGUACUGU
rnacentral:lncRNA from 1 species